AUCAGGUGGAACACUGCUGUAAAACACCUCACUAUACUGACCUCACAUCAGUACAACUGUCUCUGGCUCUGAAGUGAUAUGGAAGUCCCAUUGACGCGUCACUCUUCAUGGACACACAGCUGGGUUCUGGUCUGAUGACUGUCACAAAAAAACAGAAAGUGACACCACGAUGUCUAUGGAAAGUAGAAGACUAUUCAGAACAUGUCCCAGUCUCUGUUAAAAGAAGGGUGAUAUACUGUAUGCUUGUCAGCACGGAAAGAACUACAAGAAGACAACCACAACAGAUGAUUUGGAUCUGCUGAAACAGUUCUACACUGCCAUCAUCGAAUCCAUCCUCUGCACCUCAGUGACUGUUUGGUUCAGCUCAGCUACCCAAUCUGACCUCAAGAGACUACAGAGGGAAGUCCGGACUGCUGAGCGAAUCAUCGGCACAACUCUCCCCACACUCCAAGAUCUGUACUUCUCCAGAGUGAGCAAAAGGGAAAAGACAAUCACUCUGGACCCCUCACAUCCAGCACAC